GACGAAGGUGGCAACCGUUGUUCGGAAUCACUGGGCAUAAAGCGCACGUAGGCGGAGAAGCAAGUCGGGUGUGAAAUCCCUCGGCCCAACCGAGGAACUGCGCCCGAAACUGCUUCUCUUGAGGGCAGGAGGGGAGCGUGGAAUUCCUGGUGGAGCGGUGAAAUGCGUUGAUAUCAGGAGGAACACCGGCGGCGAAGGCGACGCUCUGGCCUGCUUCUGACGCUAAGGUGCGAAAGCCAGGGGAGCAAACGGG
rnacentral:misc_RNA from 1 species